rnacentral:rRNA from 1 species
UUUGAAAUCUCCGGUGCUUGCACCGGCGAGUUGUAGUUGCGAGAAGCACUUUCUAGGCGGAUCGGCUGCGCCUAAGUUGCUUGGAACAGCACGUCGCAGAGGGUGACAACCCCGUCUGUGGCGCGGCCGGCCGCUCACGAUGUGCUUUCGAAGAGUCGGGUUGUUUGGGAAUGCAGCCCAAAAUGGGUGGUAAACUCCAUCUAAAGCUAAAUACUGGCGUGAGACCGAUAGCGAACAAGUACCGUGAGGGAAAGAUGAAAAGAACUUUGAAAAGAGAGUUAAAAAGUACGUGAAACCGUCGAAAGGGAAACGAAUGGACUCAGCAAUGCGCCGUUUGAGAUUCAGCCGGUGGGCGGGAUCGGCGCGGGGUUUGCGGAUUCGAAUGGACCGCGGCUCCGUGCUCGUUUCUCCUCGCCGUCGCACUUCUCUUGGGCGCGCGUCAACGUCGGUCGGAACUGGGUCUGAAAGGCGCCGGGAAGGUAGGUCUGGUCCUCCGGGUCCGGUCUGUUACAGCCCGGUGUUCUCGUGGCUCGGGUCCGACCGAGGAGUUGCAGCGCAUGCCUCUUGUGGCUAGGGUCCCGUCCUUCCGGCCGGUCGUCGAAUGCGGUGGACUGCUUGCAGUGCUCCGCGACCGCUGCCGGUCGUUGGGGUGGUGAUCUCGUACUAUG